rnacentral:lncRNA from 1 species
AGGAUUAACUCCCUCUCUAGUCAGAAUUAGGUAACUGGUUCUAAAACUGACAGCGCUAAUGGCCUGAACCUAGCCGGAACCUAGAUUGGGACUUGAACCCAUGUGCCAGGACUUGAACCCAGUCUAAACCCAGAUUGGGACUCGAACCCAGAGUUUUUAAAUUAGAAUCACUCAUCUAAUUGUCUGGACUUAACCAGGUUCAUGUUCUUUGUGCCUCAGUGCAGAAAGAAUUCAGUACAAGACAAAGCCAUAGGCAAGAAAUAGAUUUAUUAAGAUAGGAUGCUUGCAAGCAGGCAGGCAAGAUGGCUCUGCUCCGAGGAUUUGGUGGGCUAUGGUUUUUUAUUCCAAGGGGAGUAGGGGUGGGAAAGGACCACUUCUUCCUCUCUCUUUGAGUAGUAGCUCCUCCUUGGUAUCUGGUAAGAGAGCUUUUGACCCUAUAAGGUCAAACUAGGAUUGUCAUGGUGCUUAUUCAAAUCAACAGAAGGGUGGUCCUUAAGCUCCAGCCCUUGGUCUGAACCUGAAUGCAGGCCUCAAUCCAUCCCCAUCCCCAUGACCUGAGGCAUAUCCUGUGCCUCCACUAGUCAAGCAAGCCUGCCUUAUUCUGAUGGCUUUCUUGAGCAAUUACUACCUUACAGUGAUCUCUCAAAGUUCCCUAGGUUUCCUCUCUAUCUUAUGGUCCCUUCUUGGGACUUCUGCAACUACCUGUGUGACAAUGCUAUUUCAUCCCUAUCAGUAAGGGCAUAAAAGUUGGAGCCCUAGGAGGAGGACACCAUUUAGAUUCCUAGGUAUCCCUCUGCAUCAAUGGUAAAGGUACAGUUUUUGAAUCAAGCCAUGUUUUUUUUUUAACUAAUUAAAUUUAUCUUGUAUUAGGGUAUAGUUGUUGAGUCAAUUUCUGACAUAUAGCAUAGUGACCCAGUGAUACAUAUGCACACAUUAUUUUUCUUGUAUUAUCUUCCGUUAUGGUUUAUCCCAAGAGACUGGAUAUAGCUCCUUGUGCUAUACAGUAGGAUCUCAUUGCUUACCCAUUCUAAAUAUAAUAGUUUUUAUCUACCAACCCCAAACUCCCAGUCCAUCCCACUCCUUCCCACCUUCCCCUUGGCAACUAUAGUCUGUUUUCUAUGUCUGUGAGUCUGUUUCUGUUUUGUAGAUGAGUUCAUUAACCACAUAUUUCUUGAAUGAAUUUUUAAGUCUCUUAUGUGACUUAACAAAUCUUUUAGUUACAAUUCAAUAUAGCAUUAGUUGACACUGUUCUGAAGAGCCAUGUCUGGAGUAUGGGAUUCUUUCAGAUAUCAAAGAAUGCCCCUAAAAAGAAAGAUGAAACUCACUCUCUGUCUCUCUGUCUCUGCCUCUCUCUCUCAGACACAGACAUAUAUAUGUACUCACACUCCACACUACACUACUUAUGCUGAAAUACUUUAAGGUACAUUAUUAUAGACUGUAUGACAACAUGAUAAAAAUUUCUAGUAGUAACAAGGGAUAUGUCUCUGGGUACAAAACUGUACCAAUUUCAUGUAACUUUCUAGAAAUAGUCAAUGAAUAUAAAAAUAUAUGUGUAGAUAAACCAUCUCUUUUUUUUUUUACAUAAAUAAGAGCAUGAUAGAAAUACUGUAUGUACCUUGAGGUUUUUAUUUAACAUCGCCUGGUUAUCUUUUUAUAGCAGCAUAUAUAAUAUAGCUCUAUUUUUCAAUAUAUUUAUUGUGUGGAUAUAUUUGCAUCAUUUAUAAAUUAAUUUAUAUUUAUCAUUUAUGAAACAAUCCAGAUUGGUUACAUGUUCAACAUUUUGUGUUUUUCACUAACCUUAGACUCUGAGUGAUCAUAGCUAUGUGAUUACUCCCAGUUUGAAAAUACUAGAUCUAAUCCAAACUGAUAAAUUCUAUUAUUCAGGAGACCAUAGGUUGUUAAACUUUUAUUUUAUUUUAUUUUAUUUUUAAUAGGGCCAAGGUAGUAAAUAUUUUAGGCUUUGGGGGCUAUAAAGAUUCUUUAACAGCCAUUCAAAUCUGUCCGCAUAGCACAAAAGCAGCCCAUGGCAAUAUGUAAACUAAUGAGCCUGGCUGUAUUACAAUAAAAUCUUUUUUUAAAACCACCUAGGGACUCGGUUUGGUCUGAGGGCCAGAGUUUGCUGAGCCUGCAACUAGCCAGGAUCUGGAAGUGACAACUUAUGGUUGAGUUUCUACAAGCCUGGGAGCACCUUAAAGGCAAGGACUAUAUCUUUUCAUCUCCAAUUCCCCCUAGUUCCUAGAUAAACAGUGACUCAACAAAUUUUUUUUUUUUUUUUUUUUUUGUCUUUUUGCUAUUUCUUGGGCCGCUCCUGCGGCAUAUGGAGGUUCCCAGGUUAGGGGUCGAAUCGGAGCUGUAGCCACCGGCCUACGCCAGAGCCACAGCAACGCGGGAUCCGAGCCGUGUCUGCAACCUACACCACAGCUCACGGCAACGCCGGGUCCUUAACCCACUGAGCAAGGGCAGGGAUCGAACCCGCAACCUCAUGGUUCCUAGUCGGAUUCGUUAACCACUGCGCCACGACGGGAACUCCAACAAAUGUUUUUUUGAGUUAAAGAAUGAAUUCACAGAAAAGGUAUAGAAGCAACCCAUUACCAUUUACUGUCUCUGAACAUGAGCUAUGCCGUUUUUAGCUGAAAAUGUGUGCAUCACAGUCUUUGGUUAUCUCUCACAAGUAUAGCUUAGGAGGGGCACAGGUUUUUUAAAAUUAUGCUCUUACUCGUCAUACCUAAACAGUUUCAUCCCUAGUAGAAGGAGUUCCCAUCGUGACUCAGUGGAAAUGAAUCCAACUAGGAACCAUGAGGUUGCCGGUUCGAUCCCUGGCCUCACUCAGUGGGUUAAUGAUAUGGUGUUGCUGUGGGCUGUGGUGUAGGUUGCGGACACGGCUUGGAUCUGGUGUUGUUGUGGUAUAGGCCAGCAACUGUGGCUCUGAUUUUAAACCCCUAGCCUGGGAACCUGCACGUGCCCUGGGUGCAGCCCUAAAAAGAAAAAAAAAAAAAAGUAGAAAAGGAGUUCGCUAACAAAGCUGACGUACCUACUACAUGCUGUAAGUUCCUGAUGUCUUGGCUGAUCUGCUAUAAAACUUAAAACUUUGCUGGAUACAAUGUUUACGUUACAGGUUUCUUUCAGUGUUUCAUUAUGACUAACCCAAUGUGUUUUUCUUGCCUGCAACCAAAAACAACUCACAUGCAUACUUUCUUCUUUAGGUUUUGAGAACACUACUCUGUCAUAUAAAGAGCCAUUAUUUUAUCAAAUAUGUAUGUGUUUAUCAAAUAUGAAAGCUAGAGAAAGGACCUAUGUCUCUCUGUGGUACGAUUUUGUGCUCUUUCUACUCUACCGAACUGAAAACAUCCAUAUAAAUAUGAGUCAUGUCUCAUAAGUAAAUGUGCAUUCUAGAAUUCUUUUCUUCCUAAACCAUGAAGCACCUUCCAUAAGUAAGACAGAAAACUCCCUGAAACCUUUGUAAACCACACUGAGGGAAAAAAAACCUAGGUCAGGUAGAUUGCUGUUCACGUUCUGUACUAGAGGAGAGAUGUUUCUAGUUCUUAUGCACAAUAGCCUUCUAACUUGAGCCCAGAAUGUCAGGCUUCUAUUACUUUGGCCCUUUGGUCCAGUGGCAUUGUUGCUGAUAUCCUAGCCUUUAAUUGUUUGACUAUUCCCAGUCUUGCUCGGGACGGUGGGCCUGUGCCAGGUUAGUUAGCCUUAAGCUAGUGGCUGAAAGGAUUGUUAUUGGUGCCUGUAUCCAACCCAGUUACUUCCUGAUCUAAAGUAGCCAAACCGACUGGGGCACAAAUAACCAUGAAAUCCUCACUGGCCACACCUUCCCCUGGCUCAGAGAAGCUUCAGGGAAAAGAAAAAUGAACUUUUGGAAAGGGAUUAUCUUGAGUGAAGAACUUUGCCCAUAACCAAAUAAAUAGAACCUGGCAACCAACCUGGCUGGUCUUCCAGUCGCUGGUGUCUUUGGGAAUGUGAGGGUCUAUAUUUCAUUUCUGUGGGUUUAAAAACAUCAAAUACCUUUCUUUGGAAGGGCACCAGAGGUCAAGGUACAGGUCUGUAGAUGGAUCAAGCAAACACUUUAGAUUUAAUCUCCAGAAUUGUACUGUGAGAUUGGCAGUGGUAAUAUUAUCUUUGUUUUACCACUUGCUUAAAUUCUUGCUUCUAGGAUUCAGAUACAGACCAUUGAACUCCAGAAUACUGGCUUUUUAACAUUGUGCCAUAAUCCACUAUUUAAACUAGUGGAUCCCACUAAAAGGCAAGUAGGGAUCACUGGACUGCAGUGCUAAGUAUUACCCUAUCUAAGUGUUGGGAAGAAUAAAUACAUAAUGUAUAUGGAGUGCUGUGUACAAUUCCUGGAGCAAAGUUAAUCACUAGAUAAGAGGUAGCUGUUAAUAUUAGUAACUCACAUAGGCUCUGAGCAAAUUAGCAGGAAAAGCCUCCUUUAAAAAUGUUUGUGGUCGCCCUUUGAGUAUAUGGAAAUUCUUAGUCCAGGGAUUGAAUCUGAGCCACAGCUGCAAUUUACACCACAGCUAUGGCAACACCAGAUACUUUAACCCACUAUGUCGGGCUGGGCAUCAAAUCUGCAUCUCAACAGUGACCUGAGCCUCUGCAGUUGGAUUCCUAACCCACUGCAUCAUGGAAGGAACUCCAGGAAAAGCCUUCUUAAUUUUAUUAAAGUAGGUGUUAAAAUCAUUUAAUUUUUAAUAUUGUUAUUAACAAAUAACCAAGUGCACAACAUGCUAUAGAUACCACAGCCUGGGGAAACUGUCUUCGUUUCUCUUUUAAAAGAAGUGAAUUCAGUGAGAAACAGCUUUCAGUGGUUGAAAGUGAGAAGUGGAGGGAAUAAGAGACUCUUUCCUGUGUUGACAUUUGAGGCUUGCCUUCUUACUUUCUUUCAACUUUAUCUUCAUAACUGCUACCCAGCUGAGUCUGUCUCUUCAGUUUAAAGAAGGUGGCAAGGAAAGUCCUAGAACAUUUUGUUUGUGAGUAAUUGACAUGACAAAUGAUGAGCUCUUACCUAAGAGAGCCCAGAUAAGGGUUUUGUUAAUAAUGCAGGGGAAGACCUGGGGAACAAUCAUUUCUGGUCUCUCUUAUCAAGCCCAGAACAAUCUUUCAUUUACCAAAUUCAUGCCACAAGAGCAUAGUCAAUAUUAAAUCCAAAAAAAA